CAACGAUGCAACGUGCUAUGAAAACGGUGUGCUGAUUCAAUAGAUUCAGCAGAUGGAACCAUGGGAUGGAGGUUAUCAGCCAUUCCAUUCCCCUCUGGACUGUAAUUCGUUGUCGACAAUGUGCUAUGGACCCUAAAGGCCUGCCAUCUGCUUGCUUUCGCUCCUUCCAAAGAAUUGAAAAGUGCUUCUAGAAGACAACCCUCGAAUCUACUGGCUUAAAGUCUUUGAGUUCUCCAUUCUGCUCAUCACCUGGACAAGGUUGCACAAGGACAGACGUGUUCAAGAAAUUUCCAGACUUGAAAUUG